rnacentral:lncRNA from 1 species
GAGGUGUGCGAAUUAGUCAUUGUUACAAAGCCGAAUUUAGUACCUGUGUGCCCCAUUUUAAGCAUGAUGAAAAUUCAUAAAGAAUACACAGAAUGAUCCUUGAAAUAAAAUGUUCUGACUCUCACAGACUGUUUAAAUAGUAAGACUGAGUAAAGUGCGCAGUUGUGAUUAGCACCAUCUGAUACUCGGUUGUUUGGGUGGGUGGUUUACCCCUGUAGUCCCAACACUGAGGCUGAGGCAGGGGGAUUGAGAGAGGCCCACCCCCUUUUUUACAUAGUGAUACCCAGUCUCUGCCUGGGGAUGGAAUCCAUAAUAGAUAAAACUGUCCAGAAAGGCACCUACAAUGUAAAGUCCUAGUGUGAAACCUAAGGUUAGGCAAAAUAAACCUUAUCCAGCUAUAUAAUACCCCCUCCAUUUCAAAGUUUUGUGCUGUCAACACCAUAGCAAUAAAGAGAUGAGAAAGGGGAAGGAAAAAUAACAAUGACAGUUUUGUUUGUUCUUUCAGUAAGUGUUUAUUCAAUCCUUAGUUCCGUGUACCUGGACUAUAGAAAACAAAAACUGCAUAGGAAAUUCCUACCCACAAAGGCCUGAAGCUUCGUAAAGUGAACAAGAGAAGCAGAUUUCAACAGAGCACAGAGGUGGCCCUAACAGCUAUGAGAAGAAGGACGUGCAGGCUGGGAGGAAGCACCAAGAACUGUGGACAGACUCCAGGGUUGGUAGGACCUCUGGUGGGAAUAUCAAGGAGAUGGUGGAAGGGGCAGGGCUGAGUUUUGGGGCCGGACCACGUCUGAGGACUCAGCCCUGGGAAUCAUGGACGAUUUCUGAUGCCUUGCUGCAGAUGAAAGGAGAAAAGAAAGCAGAAGGUGAGGCUUGAGCAGGGGUCCUGAUUUUAAGCAGCAGAGG